rnacentral:rRNA from 1 species
GAUGAACGCUAGCGGCAGGCCUAACACAUGCAAGUCGAGGGGCAGCACGGAUUGCUUGCAAUCUGGUGGCGACCGGCGCACGGGUGCGUAACGCGUAUACAACCUACCUUUUGGAGGGGAAUAGCCCAGAGAAAUUUGGAUUAAUACCCCAUAGUAUAUAGGAAUCUCCUGAUUUUUAUAAUAAACAUUUAUGGCCAUUAGAUGGGUAUGCGUCCUAUUAGCUAGUUGGUGUGGUAACGGCACACCAAGGCUACGAUAGGUAGGGGUCCUGAGAGGGAGAUCCCCCACACUGGUACUGAGACACGGACCAGACUCCUACGGGAGGCAGCAGUGAGGAAUAUUGGACAAUGGGCGAGAGCCUGAUCCAGCCAUGCCGCGUGCAGGAAGACUGCCCUAUGGGUUGUAAACUGCUUUUACAGAGGAAGAACCACCCCCACGUGUGGGGGUUUGACGGUACUCUGCGAAUAAGGAUCGGCUAACUCCGUGCCAGCCGCCGCAGUAA